rnacentral:rRNA from 1 species
UGGGAACGUGCCCAAAGGUACGGAACAACUCCGGGAAACUGGAGCUAAUACCGUAUGUGCCCGAAAGGGGAAAGAUUCAUCGCCUUUGGAUCGGCCCGCGUCUGAUUAGCUAGUUGGCGGGGUAAUGGCCCACCAAGGCGACGAUCAGUAGCUGGUCUGAGAGGAUGACCAGCCACACUGGGACUGAGACACGGCCCAGACUCCUACGGGGAGGCAG